rnacentral:rRNA from 1 species
AACGAACGCUGGCGGCGUGCCUAACACAUGCAAGUCGUGCGAGAAAGGUUCCUUCGGGAACCGAGUAAAGCGGCGCACGGGUGAGUAACACGUAGGUAAUCUGCCCCUAUGUCUGGAACAACUGGAGGAAACUUCAGCUAAUGCCGGAUGAGACCACGGCCCCUCGGUAGGCUGCGGCCAAGGCAAUGGCCUCUACUUGUAAGCUAUCGCUGAGGGAUGAGCCUGCGGGCCAUUAGCUUGUUGGUGAGGUAACGGCUCACCAAGGCUGUGAUGGCUAGCUGGUCUGAGAGGAUGACCAGCCACACUGGGGACUGAGACACGGCCCCAGACUCCUACGGGAGGCAGCAGUGGGGAAUAUUGCGCAAUGGGCGAAAGCCUGACGCAGCGACGCCGCGCGGGUGAUGAAGGG